rnacentral:rRNA from 1 species
UACGGAGGGGGCUAGCGUUGUUCGGAAUUACUGGGCUUAAAGGGCGCGUAGGCGGCGCGAUAAGUUGGGCGUGAAAGGCCCGGGCUCAACCCGGGGACUGCGCUUGAUACUGUCGCGCUGUGAGUCCGGGAGAGGAUGGCGGAAUUCCCAGUGUAGAGGUGAAAUUCGUAGAUAUUGGGAAGAACACCGGUGGCGAAGGCGGCCAUCUGGACCGGCACUGACGCUGAGGCGCGAAAGCUAGGGGAGCAAACGGG